rnacentral:rRNA from 1 species
UACGGAGGGGGCUAGCGUUGUUCGGAAUUACUGGGCGUAAAGCGCGCGUAGGCGGAUCUGCAAGUCGGGGGUGAAAUCCCGAGGCUCAACCUCGGAACUGCCUUCGAUACUGCGGGUCUCGAGUCCGGGAGAGGUGAGUGGAAUUCCGUAGUGUAGAGGUGAAAUUCGUAGAUAUUAGGAAGAACACCAGUGGCGAAGGCGGCUCACUGGCCCGGUACUGACGCUGAGGUGCGAAAGCG